rnacentral:rRNA from 1 species
AUUGAACGCUGGCGGCAGGCCUAACACAUGCAAGUCGAACGAGUGGCGGACGGGUGAGUAAUUUCUGGGAAACUGCCCGACGGAGGGGGAUAACCUCCGGAAACGGUUGCUAAUACCGCCUACCAUCCGAUUUGUCCAGAUGGGAUUAGCGUGUUGGUGAGGUAACGGCCCACCUAGGCGACGAGCCCUAGCUGGUGUGAGAGGAUGACCAGCCACACUGGAACUGAGACACGGUCCAGACUCCUACGGGAGGCAGAAGGGGGGAAUAUUGCACAAUGGGCGCAAGCCGGAUGCAGCCAUGCCGCGUGUAUGAAGAAGGCCUUCGGGUUGUAAAGUACUUGCAGCGGGGAGGCGUUACCCGCAGAAGAAGCACCGGCUAACUCCGUGCCAGCAGCCGCGGUAAUAC